GUCAACACUGGAAACCAACGGCUUCUUUCCACAGGGCAGGCACAGCACAAGCAGUAAAAGUGCAAGCUUCCCCCACACUGCUUUUCAGCCACGUCCUAGAGAAGUACCUCUAGGAGAGAGCGCUCAAGUCCAUUCACCAUGGAUCACCGACUUCU
rnacentral:sRNA from 1 species